GCCUUAUGGAAAUGGUUAUUGUUAAUCCAAGUCUUUUCACUGAGUUUUAUUAAAAACAAGAAAACCACGUAGUUUUUAAAUCUCUGUGGGUAUUGAAAUAGACAUAUGGAGAUAAUAAAUAUUAUUCACGUUUCUUAUCUAAUGUUAGUUAUUUCCUAGAUAUUGAUGUGUUCUUACAUAUAAAUGGAUGAAGUUUUAAUCACAGGCAAUAGUUUAAAAGGAGGCAAAUGUGGCUCAGUAAGAAAGAAGAAUAAUGACUCAUCUGUAUGUAUACCACUAAUUCUCUCUUCCUAGUUUAGAUAUGAACAUGUAGACAGGUACAUGAAGACCAUUUCUAUUUUGGGUUCUUUCUAUUCUGGAUUUCUGUCAUUUUCUUUGUGUGUUUGUAUAUUUGAACAUAUGAUCACAUAUUCCAUGAAUAAUUCCAUACCUGAAUAAAUACAACAGUGAACAGUUGAAUUAAUGUGAGUAGGGUCAAACAUCAGAGAAGGCGGUGGCACCCCACUCCAGUACUCCUGCCUGGAAAAUCCCAUGGACGGGGGAGCCUGGUGGGCUGCCAUCUAUGGGGUUGCACAGAGUCGGACACGACUGAAGUGACUUAGCAGCAGCAGCAGCAGCAGCAGCAGGGUCAAGCAUAGACUUUGAAUGAAGACUGUGGCUGCUUCAAUCAAUCUUCUCUGAGGAAGAUCUUGGCUGUUACCUUUGUGGAACGGAUGCUCAAUGAUUCAAUUAAGGACUGUAGAAACUUUUGCUAAUUUAAGGAUCUUUCCUGGUCAGGAGCUCUAGAAUGGAUGCCUAUUAGCAGAUUUCAGCAUCUCCCAUGGUCAUGUGCUCUGCAGGCUAAGAACGGACCAGUGGGGCUGGCUGGAAAGCUCUUCCACGGACGCGCUCUCUGGUUGCCUCCAUGCCUUCGGUGUAUAGAGGCCCACAAAGAGAACCCGGAAGUUCAUGGUGGCCUCACUGUAGCAGCCUUAAGCCCACUAAUCAAUGCACUCAAGCGGAUGCAUGCGUUUUCCAUGACUUCCUUUGUGUGUUGAGAGCCUAGAGAAGAACAAUGGACGCACAGCAGUGGGUUUAAGGAUCUUCCGUGGUCUUGGGCUCUACAGACUGAUAAUGGAUGCACCUGAAUUUAUUAAGCAUUCGACUGUGAUCAGGGCCUCUGCUGGUUUUCCUGUGUAUAAAUACAUGUGGGUCAUAAUGGAUCCUACAAGCUGAUUUCAGCUUCUGCUCUGAUUGAGAUCAUCAUGUUGCCUCUGUCAGGAGGGCGACAAAGACCACUAAAUGGGUGCACCUGGACUGAACAGACCACGAUCUCGAGGCUGCCAGUUUUCCCUAAAGAUUCCUUAGUUGAUAGCAGUGUAAGCUAUUUUCAUCAUGAGGAAGAGCACACUGGAGAUAAUGAACUGAACUAAUGUAGCCCUUCUGCCAUGGCAGUGAAUGCUGUAUUAGGAGCAAAGAGACAAAUGGUGGGUUCUCAAUGCUGUUCAAGUUUCAACCAUGAUUCCUGUGAUCAAAAAAUUUAUGGCUGCAUCUAUGUGUAGGAACCAGUAACAGAUACUGGAGUGGACUUCAGCUUCUGCCACAGUGAAGAUUAUCAUAAUGACUCUGUCAGGAAAGAGACCAAGACUGGACAUACUUGAGAUGAUUUAACCAUCUUCCAUGAUCCCAAGCCCUUUGGUUGCCUCUAUACAUUCAUUAGAAGUAUGGAGGCCAGUUACUCCGCAGAAUGGAUGCCCUUGAGCUGACUUAAGCAUCUUCCACGGUCU
rnacentral:lncRNA from 1 species